GUGUUAUAGCCCUGGGGCGAUACAGUGGAGUGGACUGAGGUUUCGCAGUGUGUGCUCUCGGGCAAGGCUGACUGGGCGCUAUGGGAUCGUUCGGCGUACAAUGCAUGCAUUUUGCGUCGUGUCUUUUUCAUACUCGCUCAACUCGGCUCUUCCACACUUAGGAGGUUGACUUAAUGGUUUUAAACGA
rnacentral:rRNA from 1 species